rnacentral:rRNA from 1 species
CAGCCGUAAACUAUGCUCGCUAGGUGUCAGGCAUGGCGCGACCGUGUCUGGUGCCGCAGGGAAGCCGUGAAGCGAGCCACCUGGGAAGUACGGCCGCAAGGCUGAAACUUAAAGGAAUUGGCGGGGGAGCACAACAACGGGUGGAGCCUGCGGUUUAAUUGGACUCAACGCCGGGAAGCUCACCGGAUAAGACAGCGAAAUGAUUGCCGGGCUGAAGACUCUGCAUGACUAGCUGAGAGGAGGUGCAUGGCGUAGACGUCU